CAGCCGCCGCGGGAAUACGUAGGGUGCAAGCGUUAAUCGGAAUUACUGGGCGUAAAGCGCACGUAGGCGGAUAUUUAAGUCAGGGGUGAAAUCCCAGAGCUCAACUCUGGAACUGCCUUUGAUACUGGGUAUCUUGAGUAUGGAAGAGGUGAGUGGAAUUCCGAGUGUAGAGGUGGAAUUCGUAGAUACUCGGAGGAACACCAGUGGCGAAGGCGGCUCACUGGUCCAUUACUGACGCUGAGGUGCGAAAGCGUGGGGAGCAAACAGGAUUAGAUACCCGUGUAGUCCCUGUCUCUUAUAC
rnacentral:rRNA from 1 species